GAUGAACGCUGGCGGCGUGCUUAACACAUGCAAGUCGAACGGAAAGGCCCAAGCUUGCUUGGGUGCUCGAGUGGCGAACGGGUGAGUAACACGUGGGUGAUCUGCCCUGCACUUUGGGAUAAGCCUGGGAAACUGGGUCUAAUACCGGAUAGGACCAUCGUUUAGUGUCGGUGGUGGAAAGUUUUUCGGUGUGGGAUGAGCUCGCGGCCUAUCAGCUUGUUGGUGGGGUAAUGGCCUACCAAGGCGUCGACGGGUAGCCGGCCUGAGAGGGUGUACGGCCAUAUUGGGACUGAGAUACGGCCCAGACUCCUACGGGAGGCAGCAGUGGGGAAUAUUGCACAAUGGGCGCAAGCCUGAUGCAGCGACGCCGCGUGGGGGAUGACGGCCUUCGGGUUGUAAACUCCUUUCGCCAAGGACGAAGCGUUUUGUGACGGUACUUGGAGAAGAAGCACCGGCUAACUACGUG
rnacentral:rRNA from 1 species